AAAUGCGAUAAGUAAUGUGAAUUGCAGAAUUCAGUGAAUCAUCGAAUCUUUGAACGCACCUUGCGCUCCUUGGUAUUCCUUGGAGCAUGCCUGUUUGAGUAUCAUGAAAUCUUCAAAGUAAAUCUUUAGUUAACUCAAUUGGUUUCUACUUUGGUAUUGGAGGUCUUUGCAGCUUCACACCUGCUCCUCUUUGUUCAUUAGCUGGAUCUCAGUGUUAUGCUUGGUUCCACUCGGCGUGAUAAGUUAUCUAUCGCUGAGGACACUGUAAAAGGUGGCCAAGGUAAAUGCAGAUGAACCGCUUCUAAUAGUCCAUUGACUUGGACAAUACUUUUAUGAUCUGAUCUCAAAUCAGGUAGGACUACCCGCUGAACUUAAGC
rnacentral:misc_RNA from 1 species